CGCCGCGCGCCCCUCCCCGCCCGGGAUCCCGGGAGCUGUCCGGCCACCUCGGUGCUGAUCCCGCCGCCGCCCAAGGGCCGCGAGCCGUGCAGAGAGGGCACUAUGAGCGGGGGUGUCUACGGCGGAGAUGAGGUGGGGGCGCUGGUCUUUGACAUUGGCUCCUUCUCAGUCCGCGCUGGGUAUGCUGGGGAGGACUGUCCCAAGGCUGACUUCCCCACCACAGUGGGGCUGCUGGCCGCAGAGGAGGGGGGCGGGCUGGAACUGGAGGGGGAGAAAGAGAAGAAAGGGAAGAUCUUCCACAUUGACACCAAUGCCCUGCAUGUGCCUCGGGAUGGAGCGGAGGUCAUGUCACCUCUCAAGAAUGGCAUGAUCGAGGACUGGGAGUGCUUCCGAGCCAUCCUGGAUCACACCUACAGCAAACACGUCAAGUCUGAGCCAAACUUGCACCCAGUGCUCAUGUCCGAGGCUCCGUGGAACACACGGGCCAAGAGGGAAAAGCUGACAGAGCUGAUGUUCGAGCAAUACAACAUUCCUGCCUUCUUCUUAUGCAAGACUGCUGUGCUCACUGCCUUUGCAAAUGGGCGCUCCACAGGGCUUGUGCUGGACAGUGGUGCCACUCACACCACGGCCAUUCCAGUGCACGAUGGCUACGUCCUGCAGCAAGGCAUUGUCAAGUCACCCCUGGCAGGGGACUUCAUCUCCAUGCAGUGUCGGGAGCUCUUCCAGGAAAUGGCCAUUGACAUCAUCCCCCCCUAUAUGAUUGCAGCGAAGGAACCUGUACGAGAGGGAGCCCCCCCAAACUGGAAGAAGAAAGAGAAGCUACCCCAGGUCUCCAAGUCCUGGCAUAACUACAUGUGCAAUGAGGUGAUUCAGGACUUCCAGGCCUCGGUACUGCAGGUCUCAGACUCCCCCUACGAUGAGCAGGUGGCAGCACAGAUGCCCACAGUGCAUUAUGAGAUGCCCAAUGGCUACAACACAGAUUAUGGGGCUGAGCGGCUCCGCAUCCCUGAGGGCCUGUUUGAUCCCUCCAACGUCAAGGGUCUCUCUGGGAACACCAUGUUAGGUGUGGGGCACGUGGUGACUACUAGUAUUGGCAUGUGUGACAUUGACAUUCGCCCGGGACUCUAUGGCAGUGUCAUUGUCACUGGUGGAAAUACACUGCUGCAGGGCUUCACUGACAGGCUCAAUCGAGAGCUUUCACAGAAGACCCCACCGCCCCUUUUUACCCACAGAGCAUGAGACUGAAGCUCAUUGCCAGCAACAGCACCAUGGAGCGCAAGUUCAGCCCCUGGAUUGGGGGCUCCAUCUUGGCCUCACUGGGCACUUUCCAGCAGAUGUGGAUUUCCAAGCAGGAAUACGAGGAGGGCGGGAAGCAGUGCGUGGAGCGGAAGUGCCCCUGAGAGCAUCCCCUCCCCACACACUGGGGUGUUAUACCCGCCGGGCCUCCACAGGCUCAGAUCGAAGCCCUCCACCCCCAAGUCUACAUCACCCCCCUCCUUUUUCUCUCUCCUCUUCUUAAGUUGUGAUGUUUCUGGAUUGAAAGAAGUAAAAAGGUUUUAA